GAGCUCGUAGCUCAGUUAGGAGAGCGUUACACUAUAUAUCGAAAGGUCGCUGGUUCGAUCCCGGGAUUCGGCACA
rnacentral:tRNA from 1 species